AGCACUUUGUGGAUGUCUUCAAUUGGUGGACAAAGGCAUGAAAGACAAGUGCAAAAAUAGAUCCUCUUUUACAACCCAAAACUCACUGUUCAGUGAGUUUUGGUACAGCUAACUCCCAAGAGACU
ensembl:snoRNA